rnacentral:lncRNA from 1 species
CGCAGUACCCUUUUAUUUACUAUAUAUGCCAUUGGUUUUUCGAAGAUUUUGACUCUCUCAUCAAGGUUAUUUCCGUAAAUUAUUAAACACACGAUUUAUCCCCUAUUCUCGCGGCUCUUAAUUAGCUUGGCUCCAAUAACAAGUUAAUAUUUGGCUGAAAAAUAAGCCCACUUUCCUAACAAAUGCAGUGGUUUUUUUUUUUGAAACACUUUUUUUUUUUUGAAACACACAAAUGCAGUGGUUUAGUUUUUGAUUUCUGAGCAUGGAAAAUGGAAAUUGUCGCUUGAAAAAGAAACAUCGGGACUUUUUUAAUGGUUGGU